UACGUAGGGUGCAAGCGUUGUCCGGAUUUAUUGGGCGUAAAGAGCUCGUAGGCGGUUUGCUAAGUCGGAAGUCAAAACCUCAGGCUCAACCUGGGGUCGCUCCCGAUACUGGUAUGACUUGAGUCUGGUAGGGGAUCACGGAAUUCCUGGUGUAGCGGUGAAAUGCGCAGAUAUCAGGAGGAACACCGGUGGCGAAGGCGGUGAUCUGGGCCAGUACUGACGCUGAGGAGCGAAAGCGUGGGGAGCGAACAGG
rnacentral:rRNA from 1 species